GGAAAGGUGUCCGAGUGGUUUAAGGAGCACGCCUGGAACGCGUGUAUAUAGGCAACUGUAUCGUGGGUUCGAAUCCCACCCUUUCCGCCA
rnacentral:tRNA from 1 species